rnacentral:rRNA from 1 species
UACGAAGGGUGCAAACGUUGCUCGGAAUUAUUGGGCGUAAAGCGCACGUAGGCGGCUCCGCAAGUCGGAUGUGAAAUCCCUCGGCUCAACCAAGGAAGUGCAUCCGAAACUGCAGAGCUUGAGUACCAAAGAGGAUCGCGGAAUUCCCGGUGUAGAGGUGAAAUUCGUAGAUAUCGGGAGGAACACCAGUGGCGAAGGCGGCGAUCUGGGUGGGAUACUGACGCUGAGGUGCGAAAGCGUGGGGAGCAAACAGG